rnacentral:lncRNA from 1 species
CCUCGGGCGGCGCGGGACCCACUCAGAUGUCCCCGGAGCCGCCCGCUGACCCCGCCCCCCCGCCCCGCCUCUCCCCCCUCCCCGCCUCUCCCCCCUCCCCGCCUCUCCCCCCUCCGCCUGCCCCGGCCCCGCCCCUCCCCGGGCCCCGCCCUUCCUGCCCCGCCUCUCCAGGGCCCCGCCUCCCCAGGGUCCCCCCUCUCCCCUGGCCCCGCCUCCCCAGGGCCCCGCCCAUCCCCAGGGCCCCGCCUCUCCCCCGGCCCCGCCCACGAGAGGAGCCCGGCCAGCUCUGCGCGCGCCUCCUCGGCCGCUUCGGGCCCUGCGUCGCCAUCUGGUGGCCUUGCCGGCAAAACGCGCCCGCGGGGAGGGGACGAAACGGGGCCCGGGAGGCGGGGGGAGGCGGGGGGAGGCGGGGGAGCCGCCGCGGCCUUCGCCCCCGUCCCAUUACCCCUGGGACGCCCCCAUCCCGUUACCCCCGGGACCUCGGAUUCUGGUCCUGUUGGUCCCGAGCAUUUCUCGUCCGACGAAGCCGCGUUAGGAGGAUUCACGGGACCCGAGCGGGCGUUCGUUUCCGCUGCUGUCCGGUUCUCCGGGGCGGGUGGAGGGGACCCCGCGGAGACGCAGGCUCGGGCCCCAACAGCCCAGGGCCCGUCUCAUUCUAUCAACAGAGAGCGGAGGCGCCCAGGGCGCUGGAGCCGCGAAGGCCGCUGGGUCCCGGGGUCCCGGGGCCGCCCCCGGGAAAGGAGGCUGGGGGGACACUCGGGGCAGGAACCGCCGAAGGCGCCUCAGCUGCCCCUGGGAAAACCAACCCUAAACAAGUCGAAGGACCCCAGGACUGAUCAGGCAGGUCAGGGCCCGGGGGGUGCCCAGGAGGGGCCGGUGCGCACCCCAGGGAGGGCCGGAUGGAGGGGCAGGGCCAGGCCUGGGGGCUGCGGGGACCCAGGAGCGGGCCUGGCUCGGGCGAACGUCCGACCUCCCGCCGCCUCCGCGCGGCCUCCCAGGGCCACAGGCCGGUGCCCUCUCGCAGCGAGGGGCGCGAGGGCUCGGGCGCGGCAGACACACGGGCGGCGCCCACCCCGGUCCCCCGACCUGCUCGGCUGCCUGCGCGGCGGCCCCAGAAGCCGCUCCCCCUUGGAGGGCCGGUCAGGGCCCCUCCGCAGGGACACGCGGGGCUCAGGGGCCGCUGCGCGCCUCGCCCGGCAGCUCCACCCUCAGCUGAACCCACUCGGCGCGGCCCGGGGGCUGCAGGUCACACUCGCCGGCAGGCGGGACCCCCGCCCCAUCCCUGCGUUUGUCCUUGGCCGGGACCCUGACUCUGCGCCCCGUGCGUCACAGACGAGCACAGACUGCAUCUCCCGUGACCCCAGCCUCCUUUCCGAGGUCCCGACCACCCAGACGCAGCAGGUGCUUCUCCUGACUCGGCAGGGAAGAGACUCAGGCGCCCCUGACCCGUGCGCAUGGGCGCCCCCCCCACCCCGCCCGGGCCUACUGAUCCAGCCAGGGCUGGAGUCCUGGCCUUGUCUCACCCUGCUGCCUGGACCCAGGAGUCGGCCCCACCCUAGGACAACCCCGUUUUUCUGGGGGCCCAACAAGACACGGAGGAGAUUCGGGCAAUUAUUCCUGACAGUGUGGCCGCAAGGCAGCCCCCAUCCCCAAUGGCCAGGCGUCCGAGACCCACCCACCCUCCCAGGGCACGGCCGCUCCAGUGGGGUCUGUGGUUGA